AUGACCCCAACACGCAAAACCAACUCGUUAAUAAAAUUAAUUAACCACUCAUUUAUUGAUCUCCCCACUCCAUCUAACAUCUCCACAUGAUGAAACCUCGGCUCACUUCUUGGCGCCUGCCUAACCAUUCAAAUGAUCACAGGACUAUUCCUAGCCAUACACUAAUCACCAGAUGCUUCAACCGCCUUCUCAUCAAUCGCCCACAUCACCUGAGACGUAAACCAUGGCUGAAUCAUCCGCUACCUCCACGCUAACGGUGCCUCAAUAUUCUUCAUCUGCCUCUUCCUACACAUCGGCCGAGGCUUAUACUAUGGCUCAUUCCUCUACCUAGAAACCUGAAACAUUGGUAUUAUCCUCUUAUUCACAACCAUAGCAACAGCCUUCAUAGGCUAUGUCCUCCCAUGAGGCCAAAUAUUCUUCUGAGGAGCCACGGUAAUUACGAAUCUAUUGUCCGCCAUUCCAUACAUCGGAACAGACCUAGUCCAAUGAGUCUGAGGUGGCUACUCAGUAGAAAGACCCACCCUCACACGAUUCUUUACCUUCCACUUCAUUCUGCCCUUUAUUAUUACAGCCUUAACAACCCUACACCUUCUAUUCCUACACGAAAUAGGAUCAAACAAUCCCUUAGGCAUCCCCUCCCAUUCCGACAAAAUUACCUUCCAUCCUUACUACACAACCAAAGACAUCCUAGGCCUAUUCCUUUUCCUCCUCACCCUAUUAACACUAGUACUAUUCUCACCAGACCUCCUGGGCGACCCAGACAACUACACCCUGACUAACCCCCUAAACACCCCACCCCACAUCAAACCCGAAUGAUAUUUCCUAUUCGCCUACGCAAUUCUCCGAUCCAUUCCCAAUAAACUAGGAGGCAUUCUAGCCCUUCUACUAUCCAUCCUCAUCCUAGCAGCAAUUCCUAUACUCCACAUAUCCAAACAACAAAGCAUAAUAUUUCACCCAUUAAGCCAAUUCCUAUAUUGAUUCCUAGCCACAGACCUUCUUACCCUAACCUGAAUUGGAGGACAACCAGUGAACUACCCCUUCACUACCAUCGGACAAGUAGCAUCCGUACUAUACUUCACGACAAUUUUAAUCCUCAUACCAGCCACCUCCUCAAUCGAAAAUAAAAUACUCAAAUGG
rnacentral:lncRNA from 1 species